rnacentral:rRNA from 1 species
ACACCGGCGGCCCGAGUGGUGAUCGUGAUUAUUGGGUCUAAAGGGUCCGUAGCCGGUUUGGUCAGUCCUCCGGGAAAUCUGGCAGCUCAACUGUUAGACUUUCGGGGGAUACUGCCAGACUUGGAACCGGGAGAGGUAAGAGGUACUACAGGGGUAGGAGUGAAAUCCUAUAAUCCUGGGAGGACCACCUGUGGCGAAGGCGCCUAACUGGAACGGACCUGACGGUGAGUAACG